rnacentral:rRNA from 1 species
UACGUAGGGUGCGAGCGUUGUCCGGAUUUAUUGGGCGUAAAGAGCUCGUAGGCGGCUUGUCGCGUCGUCCGUGAAAACCCGCGGCUCAACUGUGGGCGGGCAGCUGAUACGGGCAGGCUGGAGUUCGGUAGGGGAGACUGGAAUUCCCGGUGUAGCGGUGAAAUGCGCAGAUAUCAGGAGGAACACCGGUGGCGAAGGCGGGUCUCUGGGCCGAUACUGACGCUGAGGAGCGAAAGCGUGGGGAGCGAACAGG